UACGUAGGGGUCGAGCGUUGUCCGGAGUUACUGGGCGUAAAGCGUGCGCAGGCGGCUCAUCGCGCUCGGCGUGAAAGCCCCCGGCUCAACCGGGGAGGGUCGUCGAGGACGGGUGAGCUUGAGGGUAUCAGGGGUUGGUGGAAUUCCCGGUGUAGUGGUGAAAUGCGCAGAUAUCAGGAGGAACACCAAUGGCGAAGGCAGCUCGCUGGGACGUGACUGACGCUGAGACGCGAAAGCGUGGGGAGCAAACAGG
rnacentral:rRNA from 1 species